rfam:Myotis davidii contig125433, whole genome shotgun sequence.
GGCGGUUCUCUGGUGAUGUACCCCAGAAACUGGCUCCCUACUCUCUGGUUCCUGGUGAGUCACCCGAGAACCCUA